UACGGAGGGGGCUAGCGUUGUUCGGAAUUACUGGGCGUAAAGCGCACGUAGGCGGUCUUUUAAGUCGGGGGUGAAAUCCUGGAGCUCAACUCCAGAACUGCCUUCGAUACUGAAAGACUUGAGUCGGGAGAGGUGAGUGGAACUGCGAGUGUAGAGGUGAAAUUCGUAGAUAUUCGCAAGAACACCAGUGGCGAAGGCGGCUCACUGGCCCGGUACUGACGCUGAGGUGCGAAAGCGUGGGGGAGCAA
rnacentral:rRNA from 1 species